GGCUCCCGCGCGCCACCCCGAGGGGACGGGCGCCACCUCCUGCUACGCGGCACCCGGUCCCGUCAACCGCCCAACGGCUGAGGAGUGCGGCAGCGCGCCAGAGACUGGCGGGCAGCUCCGCCCGCGGCCGGGAUGCACUAGGCAAAGCCAGCUGGGCUCCUGAGUCCGGUGGGUACUUGGAGAACUUACUACGUCUAGCUGGAGGAUUGUAAAUGCACCAAUCAGCAUGCUGUGUCUAGCUCAAGAACUCAAGCUCCAUGAGGAGAUGUUUCAUUGUCGAGAGCAGUCAUGAUGGCCUGCACUCCACACAAUGCAACAGAGUGAAAGAGCAGGUUCUGCUUCUUUGGUGUAGUCCUGAAGCUUCCUAAGAAACUUCACAUCAGGUGAUGGAUAGGAGCAACCCUGUAAAACCAGCCUUAGACUAUUUUUCAAACAGGCUGGUGAAUUACCAGAUCUCCGUCAAGUGCAGUAACCAGUUCAAGUUGGAAGUGUGUCUUUUGAAUGCAGAAAACAAAGUCGUGGACAACCAGGCUGGGACCCAGGGCCAGCUGAAGGUGCUGGGUGCCAACCUCUGGUGGCCGUACCUGAUGCACGAACACCCCGCCUCCCUGUACUCGUGGGAGGAUGGUGAUUGCUCACACCAAAGCCUUGGACCCCUCCCAGCCUGUGACCUUUGUGACCAACUCCACCUACGCAGCAGACAAGGGGGCUCUGUAUGUGGAUGUGAUCCGUGUGAACAGCUACUACUCUUGGUAUCGCAACUACGGGCACCUGGAGUUGAUUCAGCUGCAGCUGGCCGCCCAGUUUGAGAAUUGGUGUAAGACAUCACAAUCCCAUUAUUCAGAGCGCGUAUGGAGUGGAAACGCUUGUAAGGCUUCACCAGGAUCCACCUCUGAUGUUCAGUGAAGAGGACCGGAAAAGUCUGCUAGAGCAGUACCAUCUGGGUCUGGAUCAAAAACGCAGAAAAUACGUGGUUGGAGAGCUCAUCUGGAAUUUUGCCGAUUUCAUGACUAACCAGUCCAAGGAUGAAGGAAAAACUGGACCUCAUUAUGGAUUUACUUUUGGGAUACACUCAUUAUUCCAGAGGAGGGUAAAAGGCUGAGAAGCUUAAGGUGUCAGUUUCUUGGUCGGGAAUGAAAAUAGUGCCAACCUGUGAUACCUUCACUCUAAUUUUACUUUCUGAGGAAGUUUUCUGUAAUAGUUAUUUGGUGAUAAUUAUUAAUACUGGUGAGAAAAUCAAUGUAAAAGAGGAGAAAUAACCCACACAACCACAUACAACUAGGAAAUGAUAGAUGGAUCUGAAAAAAAGGAUAUGCACUCUUAACAAGUUCAACACCCAAGUACUAUUGCAAGUACCAGCUGUAUUUCAUGGAAAAAAAAAAAAGAAUAACUCAAAAGGCAGAACGAAGAGCCUAGAGGUCAGAGAUGAGAGGCAUGAAUAAUUAUUCACAGGCGUUGAAUAUAAUCAAAUGACUUGCAACAUUUACCACUGGGAUUUUAAAAUGUGGUGGACCAAUCAUUCUUUUAGUCUGUGCAUUUUCCCAUUUUUUUCAACAGGAAUGUCUAGAGACAUUAUUCCUGUUUUGCCACUGUAUUUUUGGUGAAUGUGUAGUAAGUAACUGGCCUCUUUAGUAUCACAAAGCUGGAUGAAGAAAAUGUGGUACAUAUACACCAUGAAAUACUAUGCCGCCACAAAAAGGAAAUGAGAUCAUGUCCUCUGCAGGGACAUGGAUGAAGCUGGAAGCCAUUAUCCUUAGCAAAGUAACGCAGGAACAGAAAACCAAACACCACAUGUUGUCUCUUAGAAGUGGGAGCUGAACGUAUAGACAAAAUGACCUACGAAUCAAGCAUUUUGUUCCACGGUCUCUACUGUUAGCUGUAUGUCUCAGAAACAGCUUCUUUCUCAAGAGAGAACAAGAGGGAUAAUGCUGGAUCUAAAGGCAUCAUCUGAAGAAGACAAAGAUAUCAACAAUCGCAACUAUUUGGCUUUCUGUCCAUCACUGAGACUUUUCAUAAUCUUCCCUUCAUAAAUAGGAUCUCUUGAUCAGAACAGAAAAGUUGAGUCUUAAAUUUCCUGUAUUUAUUUCUGACUGAUACUGAGGGAAGUGCAAAUUUGGUUGCUAUGAUUAAACUCCUUGAUUGUUCUUAAUGGGACUCUUUUAAUAAGUCAAACAUUUUUGCCAUCUAAGUAUAUUGAUGAGCGCCACUUUAUCUCAAAUGUUUACACAUACUAGGGAAAAGCAUCUGCAGUUUCUGAACUCUUUGUGAAUCAGUAUCACUUUUUCAUGUUACUUCAGAGAUCAAUAUUCAGUGCAUUGGUUUUAUUUACCAUCUUUUCUCCCAGUUGAUCUUGUAAUCAUCAGAAAGGGAAAAAAAAUCUCCU